rnacentral:rRNA from 1 species
UACGAAGGGGGCUAGCGUUGCUCGGAAUCACUGGGCGUAAAGCGCACGUAGGCGGAUUGCUAAGUCAGGGGUGAAAUCCUGGAGCUCAACUCCAGAACUGCCUUUGAUACUGAGGAUCUUGAGUUCGGGAGAGGUGAGUGGAACUGCGAGUGUAGAGGUGAAAUUCGUAGAUAUUCGCAAGAACACCAGUGGCGAAGGCGGCUCACUGGCCCCGGUAUG